GGCCCCUUAACUCAGCGGUUUUAGAGUAGCCGACUCAUAAUCGGUUAGCCCGGAGUUCGAAUCUCCGAGGGGCCACCA
rnacentral:tRNA from 1 species